AUUGAACGCUGGCGGCACGCUUUACACAUGCAAGUCGAACGGCAGCGCGGGCUUCGGCCUGGCGGCGAGUGGCGAACGGGUGAGUAAUGCAUCGGAACGUGCCCAGUAGUGGGGGAUAGCCCGGCGAAAGCCGGAUUAAUACCGCAUACGACCUGAGGGUGAAAGCGGGGGACCGAAAGGCCUCGCGCUAUUGGAGCGGCCGAUGUCGGAUUAGCUAGUUGGUGGGGUAAAGGCUUACCAAGGCGACGAUCCGUAGCUGGUCUGAGAGGACGACCAGCCACACUGGGACUGAGACACGGCCCAGACUCCUACGGGAGGCAGCAGUGGGGAAUUUUGGACAAAGGGGGCAACCCUGAUCCAGCCAUGCCGCGUGCGGGAAGAAGGCCUUCGGGUUGUAAACCGCUUUUGUUCGGGAAGAAAUCCUCUGGGCUAAUACCCCGGGGGGAUGACGGUACCGGAAGAAUAAGCACCGGCUAACUACGUG
rnacentral:rRNA from 1 species